CGCUUAGGAAUCUGCCUAUUAGUGGGGGACAACAUUCCGAAAGGAAUGCUAAUACCGCAUACGUCCUACGGGAGAAAGCAGGGGACCUUCGGGCCUUGCGCUAAUAGAUGAGCCUAAGUCGGAUUAGCUAGUUGGUGGGGUAAAGGCCUACCAAGGCGACGAUCUGUAGCGGGUCUGAGAGGAUGAUCCGCCACACUGGGACUGAGACACGGCCCAGACUCCUACGGGAGGCAGCAGUGGGGAAUAUUGGACAAUGGGGGGAACCCUGAUCCAGCCAUGCCGCGUGUGUGAAGAAGGCCUUAUGGUUGUAAAGCACUUUAAGCGAGGAGGAGGCUACUAGUAUUAAUACUACUGGAUAGUGGACGUUACUCGCAGAAUAAGCACCGGCUAACUCUGUGCCAGCAGCCGCGGUAAUACAGAGGGUGCGAGCGUUAAUCGGAUUUACUGGGCGUAAAGCGUGCGUAGGCGGCCAUUUAAGUCAAAUGUGAAAUCCCCGAGCUUAACUUGGGAAUUGCAUUCGAUACUGGAUGGCUAGAGUAUGGGAGAGGAUGGUAGAAUUCCAGGUGUAGCGGUGAAAUGCGUAGAGAUCUGGAGGAAUACCGAUGGCGAAAGCAGCCAUC
rnacentral:rRNA from 1 species